CAGGGUUAAAUAUGUCAAAGCACCUGCGGAAAAUAGACAAUGAACCACUGUUCCCAUGUGUGCUGAUGUAUAGAAGAUAUAAAGACAACCAAUUUCUUCGCUGUCACUUCAACAAGAACAAGAUUCUAGAAAACCAGCUUUGAUAUAUAGAUUAAUUAAAUAGAAAUGACCCUAUAGCUGAUGGUUGAAGAAAGAAAUUGUUGCAAAAGAGCAUACCCCGCAAAUGCCAACAUAUCCA